AUAGCUCAUUGGUCUAGUUUUUUUGCGCCUAAAAUGUAUCGAGACUUAAGAAAUUUACCGAAGCGGCAAGUUUUAUUUUAUUAUAAUAAAACGGUAGUGGAACAUUCUGUAUGUUAAUAAAGAUAUGUUGUAAAAUAUGUUGAAGAUAUCAGAAAAGAAAAUGCUGGCAUUAGUAACAAAAAAUAACGAAUUAAAAUCGUUAUCACCGAAAAUUCAAGGGUUUCUAUGUUAAAAUGUAUUUCAUAGAGUGAAACGGCCCCUAAGAAAGAUUUAACGAAAGUAAAUUUUGAUGGGAUAAUUUUUAAAUUAAAUUUUUUUUAAAAAGUGACAAAAAUUUUUAAUUUUUCAGGAAAUAGCUUUUUAAAUAAAAAACCGUACCCUAAACCGACACAGGUGAAUAGGUUGAGUAAACUAAGGUGUAUGAGUAAACUGUAUUGAAGGAACUCGGCAAAAUGACUUUGUAACUUCGGGAUAAAAAGUACCUAAAUUAUUAUAAAUAAUUUAGGUGUCACAAAAUAGGGGGUUGCGACUGUUUAAUAAAAACUUAGGACUCUGCUAAAUGGUAACAUGAUGUAUAGGGUCUGACACCUGCCCGGUGCUGGAAGAUUAAGAAAAAAUGUUUGCGCAUUAAAUUGAAGUCCCAGUAAACGGCGGCCGUAACUCUGACGGUCCUAAGGUAGCGAAAUUCCUUGUCGGGUAAGUUCCGACCUGCAUGAAUGGUGUAACGACAUCCCCGCUGUCUCCAAUACAGACUCAGUGAAUUUGAAUUAUCCGUGAAGAUGCGGAUUUUCUAUAGUUAGACGGAAAGACCCCGUGAACCUUUACU
rnacentral:ncRNA from 1 species